rnacentral:lncRNA from 1 species
ACAGGUACGUGGGCGGGCGGAUCGUGGUGGCUGCGCUUGCGAGGACCCUGAGGUAGAUUGGGUGGUUUCAACAGGAACGCAUCCACUGUCUGAGAGUUUAAACUUGAUUUUGUGAGGGGACGAACAGCGUGACAAUUAAAAGAAGAUCUGGGAAUCAAAAGCUUCCUGAGGCCUUCACCAGAAGCAGAUGCUGGUGCCGUGCUUCUACAGCCUGCAGAACUGUGAGCCAAAUAAAGUUCUUUCCUUUAUAAAUUACCCAGCGUCAGGUAUUGUUUUAUAGCAAUGCAGAACAGACUAACACAGACACACACACCAACCAAGUACAGUAUGAGAAGGGAUUAUUGGGUGCCAUUUUGGAGGUUGUCUACCACAGGAUUUUAUCUGUAUCAUUAUUCAAAUUUCGUUUUUGAAAAAUUUUGUAAGGGCACAUUUAUAGAAAUAUGAAUGCUUAAUAUUUGAUGAUAUUAGGGAAUUAAACCAUUUUUGUGUGAUAGUAAUUUUUAAAGAUUCCUUAUCUUUUAGAAAUACAUAUUGAAAUAUUUAGAGAUGUAGUGAUAUAAUGUCUGGGGUAUGCUUCAAGAUAAGAGUUGCAGAAAGUGGGUGGUAGUAUAAAUCAAGAUUGGUUAUGAGUUGAGAAUUUUUGAGUAAUAGGUAUAUGGGGACUAAGUAUUCUAUUCUUCAUACUUUUACAUGCCGUAAAUCCCCACUUAUCUGCAGGGAAUGUGUUCCAAGACCCCCAGUGGAUGCCUGAAACUGAGAAUAGUACUGGACCCUGUAUAUACUGUGUUUUUUCUUUCCUUAUUGAGAACUUUUAUGUUUUCACUUAAAGGAAGGACUUUACAGCUUCUCUUUCGCAUAUCCAAAUUGCCAGCAUCACCGCUCUUGCACUCCAAGCCAUUAUUAAGUAAAGUAAAGAACACAAACACUGUGAUACUGCUACACUUGAUCUGAUAACCAAGAAGUCUACUAAGUGACUAACAGCAGAGCAACUGGGAACCUAAUUCUGACCAAAAAGGAGGAAUUGUUUGGCUAAUUGGAAGUGACAGAAACCUUGGGAGAAAGCAACCGCAUACCAAGGAUAAUUAUAAGAAGAAGAGAAGACAUGGAGAAGAGGAGGGAGUAGUUGUGACCGUGGAGGCAGAGAAUGGAGUAAUGUGAUCAUAAAUCAAGGAAUGCUGACAGCCACUAAAGCUGGAGAAGGCCAAGGACAGAUAUUCAAUCCUCCCGUAGAAGUACAGCCCUGCUAAUGCAUUGAUUUUGGACUUCUGGCCUCAGAACUGUCUGGAAAGCAUGGAAAUUUGUAUCUUCAUUCACUUUUGUUUUCAUGGACUCUUUUCAUGUUUGAACUUUUCAUGGU